rnacentral:rRNA from 1 species
GCGAGCGGCGGAUGGGUGAGUAACACGUGGGGAACCUGCCCCUAAGUCUGGGAUACCAUUUGGAAACAGGUGCUAAUACCGGAUAAUAAAGCAGAUCGCAUGAUCAGCUUUUGAAAGGCGGCGUAAGCUGUCGCUAAGGGAUGGCCCCGCGGUGCAUUAGCUAGUUGGUAAGGUAACGGCUUACCAAGGCGACGAUGCAUAGCCGAGUUGAGAGACUGAUCGGCCACAUUGGGACUGAGACACGGCCCAAACUCCUACGGGAGGCAGCAGUAGGGAAUCUUCCACAAUGGACGCAAGUCUGAUGGAGCAACGCCGCGUGAGUGAAGAAGGUUUUCGGAUCGUAAAGCUCUGUUGUUGGUGAAGAAGGAUAGAGGUAGUAACUGGCCUUUAUUUGACGGUAAUCAACCAGAAAGUCACGGCUAACUACGUGCCAGCAGCCGCGGUAAUACGUAGGUGGCAAGCGUUGUCCGGAUUUAUUUGGGCGUAAAGCGAGCGCAGGCGGAAAAAUAAGUCUAAUGUGAAAAGCCCCUCGGCUUAACCGAGGAACUGCAUCGGAAACUGUUUUUCUUGAGUGCAGAAAGAGGAGAGUGGAACUCCAUGUGUAGCGGUUGGAAUGCGUAAAUAUAUGGAAGAACACCAGUGGCGAAGGCGGCUCUCUGGUCCUGCAACUGA